AGCAGCAUGGCGCAUUUGGAAGCGCGCGGGGCCCAUAUAUGUGCCUAUCUUGCAAUAUACCCCGAAGUCACUUGAUCGAAACAAGUUGCUGCUA